GAUGAACGCUGGCGGCGUGCCUAAUACAUGCCAGUCGAGCGAACGGACGAGAAGCUUGCUUCUCUGAUGUUAGCGGCGGACGGGUGAGUAACACGUGGAUAACCUACCUAUAAGACUGGGAUAACUUCGGGAAACCGGAGCUAAUACCGGAUAAUAUUUUGAACCGCAUGGUUCAAAAGUGAAAGACGGUCUUGCUGUCACUUAUAGAUGGAUCCGCGCUGCAUUAGCUAGUUGGUAAGGUAACGGCUUACCAAGGCAACGAUGCAUAGCCGACCUGAGAGGGUGAUCGGCCAUACUGGAACUGGGACACGGUCCAGACUCCUACGGGAGGCAGCAGUAGGGAAUCUUCCGCAAUGGGCGAAAGCCUGACGGAGCAACGCCGCGUGAGUGAUGAAGGUCUUCGGAUCGUAAAACUCUGUUAUUAGGGAAGAACAUAUGUGUAAGUAACUGUGCACAUCUUGACGGUACCUAAUCAGAAAGCCACGGCUAACUACGUG
rnacentral:rRNA from 1 species